UCCUACUCACCUCCCCUAAAAUAGCCAUAACAUUCCCCUCUCAGAAACAUAUACUGACCAGGCGAUUUUACAAUAA
rnacentral:tRNA from 1 species